AGGAUGCUUUUGGCGCGGCGCCUUCCGAGUUCCCUGGAACGGGACGCCACANAGGGUGAGAGCCCCGUCUGGUCGGACGCCUAGCCUGUGUAAAGCUCCUUCGACGAGUCGAGUAGUUUGGGAAUGCUGCUCUAAAUGGGAGGUAUAUGUCUUCUAAAGCUAAAUAUUGGCCAGAGACCGAUAGCGCACAAGUAGAGUGAUCGAAAGAUGAAAAGCACUUUGAAAAGAGGGUUAAACAGUACGUGAAAUUGUUGAAAGGGAAGCGCUCGUCACCAGACUUGCGCCCGGCGGAUCAUCCGGCGUUCUCGCCGGUGCACUCCGCCGGGCGCAGGCCAGCAUCAGUUCGCCGCGGGGGACAAAGGCGGCGGGAACGUGGCUCCCCCGGGAGUGUUAUAGCCCGCCGCGCAAUGCCCUGGGGCGGACUGAGGUCCGCGCAUCGCAAGGAUGCUGGCGUAAUGGUGAUCAGCGACCCGUCUUGAAACACGGACCAAGGAGUCGUCCUCGUAUGCGAGUGUUCGGGUGUGAAACCCCUACGCGUAAUGAAAGUGAACGCAGGUGAGAGCUUCGGCGCAUCAUCGACCGAUCCUGAUGUUCUNGGAUGGAUUUGAGUAAGAGCAUACGGGNCCGGNCCCGAAAGAAG
rnacentral:rRNA from 1 species